rnacentral:tRNA from 1 species
GGUGGCUCAGUGGUAGAGUGCUUGCCUGGCAUGCAUGAAGCCCUGGGUUCAAUUCCUCAGCACCA